UCGAGCGAGAAGCGUUGGUUCCGUAAGGUUCCGACGUGGAAAGCGGCGAACGGGUGCGUAACACGUGAGAAACCUGCCCCCCAGACCGGGAUAGCCCAGGGAAACUUGGAUUAAUACCGGAUACUCUCUUUGGAUCGCAUGAUCCGUUGAGGAAAUGGUCCGCUGCUGGGGGAUGGUCUCGCGGCCUAUCAGGUAGUUGGUGAGGUAACGGCUCACCAAGCCGAAGACGGGCAGCUGGUCUGAGAGGACGAUCAGCCACACUGGAACUGAGACACGGUCCAGACUCCUACGGGAGGCAGCAGCAGGGAAUAUUGCACAAUGGGCGAAAGCCUGAUGCAGCGACACCGCGUGCGGGAUGAAGGCCUUCGGGUUGUAAACCGCUUUCAGGAGGGAAGAAAAUGACGGUACCUCCAGAAGAAGGCCCGGCCAACUACGUGCCAGCAGCCGCGGUAAUACGUAGGGGCCAAACGUUGUCCGGAAUUAUUGGGCGUAAAGGGCUCGUAGGCGGUUCAACAAGUCGGUCGUGAAAGCCCGGGGCUCAACUCCGGGAUGCCGGUCGAAACUGUUGUGACUUGAGUUCGGUAGAGGUGAGUGGAAUUCUCAGUGUAGCGGUGGAAUGCGCAGAUAUUGAGAGGAACACCAUUAGCGAAGGCGGCUCACUGGGCCGAUACUGACGCUGAGGAGCGAAAGCGUGGGGAGCAAACAGGAUUAGAUACCCUGGUAGUCCACGCCGUAAACGAUGAACACUAGGUGUAGCGGAUUUAUUCAUGUCUGCUGUGCCGUAGCUAACGCAUUAAGUGUUCCGCCUGGGGAGUACGGCCGCAAGGCUAAAACUCAAAGGAAUUGACGGGGCCCCGCACAAGCGGCGGAGCAUGCGGCUUAAUUCGAUGCAACCCGAAGAACCUUACCUGGGUUUGACAUCAUGGGUCUAGCUGUGGAAACACAGUGUGCUUACGCGCCCAUGACAGGUGGUGCAUGGCUGUCGUC
rnacentral:rRNA from 1 species